GGGAGCCAGCAGUGCCGGAUUUGUGAGAGGGAUGUCUGACUGCCAGUUUAGGCCCGAUUCCUUGAGCACCUGGCUCUGGUAGCAAGAGGAGAUUGUGCCUCUGGGUCCCACAGAUCAUCUCCUACACAAGGUCCCUCCUUCAGGACUAUUUUGCCUAAUACAUACAGACAAACACAGGGAGUCAGGCAAAAUGAGGAAACAAAUAUGGGUCAAACCAAAGAACAAAACUAACCCAGAAAAAAUACCUUAAUUUAACAGAUAAGCAACCUACCUGACAAAGACUUCAAAGUAAUAAUCAUAAAAUUGCUCACUGAACUGCAGAUGAACAUGAAACUUUAAGAGACAGAAAAUAUAAAAAAGGACCAAACAGAAAUUACAACUGAACUGGAAAAUACACUAGAGGGGUUCAAUGGCAAACUGGAUGAAGUAGAAGUAAAAAUCAGUGAAUAGGAAGAGAAAGCAAUGAAACACCCAGACAGAGCAGCAAAAUAAAAAUAAAAAAGAAUUUUAAAAAGAGAAGCUACACUUGUGUGGCAUCAUCAAAUGGAAUAACA